GCAGCGCUGGAAGCUCCUCCUGACGGACUGAAGCAGCAGACUGAGGGGACCGGAGCUUCUGAAGGCCAGCUGAGCGUCCUCGCCUCUCAUUCAGGUUUCAUUCUUUCUCUGGUGUUCUGUGUUGCGGCGGCGCUCUUUGCUGCAGCUGUGUUGCUCCUCUACAAAUGGAAAACAACGAGGGAGUCUGACGGUUUUACCAGCAGGGCCCAGUUGAGCUGCAGGAACAACACCGGAGGCAGAACUGUCCAGUUUUCCACUUCAAAUUGUACAAACCGAACGCCGGUGUCACCAGAUGAACGCUGCUGUGGUCAACAACAGCUUUACUGUAACCUCUGAGAUGUUACAAGCUGCAGCACUCACCUAAACAGCGUCGGGUCUGAGGAGACGGCCGGCGGCUUCAGUUCUACGUCCGUUUUUUCCAAAGUCUAUGAAGGUUCUCACCACUGCAGCCAGCUGUUAAAGGGAAGAAAUAUAUGAGCGCAAUAUGUAGGCCCAGCAUUUAUACUGUGUAAAUAAAAUAUCUGAGAAAUUAAGGUUUGUGCAUCUGCAAAAAAAUAAAAAAAAAAUAAUUCAGGUGCUCAUUUGCAGAAAUAAAUGUGUGUUCUUGUAGCAAAUAUUUGUAUUUCUAGUUUUGCACAGUUUGUGAACCUCUGAUACAAAGA